AUUGAACGCUGGCGGCAGGCCUAACACAUGCAAGUCGAACGAGUGGCGGACGGGUGAGUAAUGUCUGGGAAACUGCCUGAUGGAGGGGGAUAACUACUGGAAACGGUAGCUAAUACCGCAUACCAUCAGAUGUGCCCAGAGGGGAUUAGCUAGUAUGUGGGGUAACGUCUCACCUAGGCGACGAUCCCUAGCUGGUCUGAGAGGAUGACCAGCCAUCCUGGAACUGAGACACGGGCCAGACUCCUACGGAAGGCAGCAGUGGGAAAUAUUGCACAAUGGGCGCAAGCCUUAUGCAGCCAUGCCGCGUGUCUGAAGAAGGCCUUCGGGUUGUAAAGCACGUUCAGCGGGGAGGCGUUACCCGCAGAAGAAGCACCGGCUAACGCCGUGCCAGGAGCAGCGGUAAUUC
rnacentral:rRNA from 1 species